GGGGAGCAUGGCGCGGUGGCUGGAGUGGGAGUGCCUUUCAAGCUCUUUGGCGCCUGGUGGUUCCUCUCCGCCUUCAUCCUG
rnacentral:tRNA from 1 species